rnacentral:rRNA from 1 species
AAUGAACGCUGGCGGCAUGCCUAACACAUGCAAGUCGAACGAGACCUUCGGGUCUAGUGGCGCACGGGUGUGUAACGCGUGGGAAUCUGCCCUCGGGGUUGGAAUAACAGUUGGAAACGACUGCUAAUACCGGAUGAUGACUUAAGCCCAAAGAUUUAUCGCCCAAGGAUGAGCCCGCGUAGGAUUAGCUAGUUGGUGAGGUAAAGGCUCACCAAGGCGACGAUCCUUAGCUGGUUUGAGAGGAUGAUCAGCCACACUGCGACUGAGACACGGCCCAGACUCCUACGGGAGGCAGCAGUGGGGAAUAUUGGACAAUGGGCGGAAGCCUGAUCGAGCAAUGCCGCGUGAGUGAUGAAGGCCUUAGGGUUGUAAAGCUCUUGUACCCGGGAUGAUAAUGACAGUACCGGGAGAAUAAGCUCCGGCUAACUCCGUG